UCAAGGAAGAAGAUCUGACGGUACCUGAGGAAUAAGCCUCGGGUAAUUCCGUGCCAGCAGCCCCGGUAAUACUGGAGCGGCAAGCGUUAUCCGGAAUUAUUGGGCGUAAAGCGUUUGCAGGCGGCCUUGUAAGUUUGUCGUUAAAGGCCGGGGCUUAAAUCCAUUUCAGCGAUGGAAACCACAAGGCUUGAGUGUGGUAGGGGCAGAGGGAAUUCCCGGUGGAGCGGUGAACUGCGUAGAUCCGG
rnacentral:rRNA from 1 species